rnacentral:rRNA from 1 species
UACGAAGGGGGGCUAGCGUUGCUCGGAAUCACUGGGCGUAAAGGGUGCGUAGGCGGGUCUUUAAGUCAGGGGUGAAAUCCUGGAGCUCAACUCCAGAACUGCCUUUGAUACUGAAGAUCUUGAGUUCGGGAGAGGUGAGUGGAACUGCGAGUGUAGAGGUGAAAUUCGUAGAUAUUCGCAAGAACACCAAUGGCGAAAGCAGCUUUCUGGGACGGUACUGACGCUGAGACGCGAAAGCGUGGGGAGCGAACAGG